GAUGAAGAACGCAGCAAAAUGCGAUAAGUAAUGUGAAUUGCGGAAUUCAGUGAAUCAUCGAAUCUUUGAACGCACAUUGCGCCCGCUGGUAUUCCGGCGGGCAUGCCUGUUCGAGCGUCAUUUCAACCCUCAAGCCCCCGGGUUUGGUGUUGGGGAUCGGCUCUGCCCUUCUGGGCGGUGCCGCCCCCGAAAUACAUUGGCGGUCUCGCUGCAGCCUCCAUUGCGUAGUAGCUAACACCUCGCAACUGGAACGCGGCGCGGCCAUGCCGUAAAACCCCAACUUCUGAAUGUUGACCUCGGAUCAGGUAGGAAUACCCGCUGAACUUAAGCAUAUCAAUAAGCGGAGGA
rnacentral:misc_RNA from 1 species